rnacentral:antisense_RNA from 1 species
AGAUCAGCCCUGGGGUUCAGAGGGAUCCUGACGGCUACUCCUCAAGAUCCUCUCUGUUGUGAUUCAUCCCCCCCAGGCCCUACAGUUUCUCCUUCCUGACUCUUACAUUUCUUUGGAUGGCAUCACUAUUCCUGUGGCUGACUGACAGCUCAACUUGGAGAAGGUGUUACCUGGGCCAGGUGGGGAAGGUAGGGUUGUUUGCAGAGCAAAGAAGUGAAGCAGAACCAACCCCUCCUCUUCUUCCUCCCCCUCAGCCUAUUCAAUGUGAAAAAGAUGAGGGCGAAGACCUUUAUGAUGAUCCAAGUAAUGAACACACUGGAGAAAGUCAAACAGUCAAAACAAUGUCCCAGACUCCGUGAAGUUCCUGGGUAGAGAAGUAGACAGACGUACACCAUACCUAAUAAUUGGAGGUCCAAGAGAAUGAGAGAAUGGCAGAAAGAACUUUAGAGCAUGGGUAUGAUGGCUAGAGCUUGAGCAGCCAUUGUGGACAUCAGAUGAACCUGAAAGUGAAAACUAUGAGCUGAAUAUGACAAAGCAAAUAGAAAACUGGAUUCAUGAUGACACUGCAAAGCUGCCAGACCAGCUCUAGUCUGCUUCUCCCUAAUCUUCCUUACUAAGAGAGAGAAAUAAACUUCCAUCUUCUUCAA